rnacentral:rRNA from 1 species
GUGCCAGCAGCCGCGGUAAUACGGAGGGUGCAAGCGUUAUCCGGAAUUACUGGGUUUAAAGGGUGCGUAGGCGGCCUUAUAAGUCAGUGGUGAAAGUUUGCCGCUUAACGGUAAAAUUGCCAUUGAUACUGUAGGGCUUGAAUUAGGAUGAGGUUAGCGGAAUGAGACAUGUAGCGGUGAAAUGCAUAGAUAUGUCUUAGAACACCGAUUGCGAAGGCAGCUAACUAGACCUUAAUUGACGCUGAGGCACGAAAGCGUGGGUAGCGAACAGGAUUAGAUACCCUGGUAGUCCACGCCCUAAACGAUGCUAACUCGUUGUUUGAUCUGUAGGAUUGAGCGACCAAGGGAAACCGUUAAGUUAGCCACCUGGGGAGUACGCUCGCAAGAGUGAAACUCAAAGG